rnacentral:rRNA from 1 species
AGUGAACCGGCAAAAGCUCAAAGUUAAAAUCUGUAGCACAGAGUUGCAGAAUUGUAAUCUAAAGGUCUUUUAGGGAAGGCAUAGUUCUCGCAUAAGUUCCCUGAAAAAGGGCGUCAUAGAGGGUAAUAACCCCGUGUUUGGCGAGGACUGGCUGUACCGAAGGAUUCCAAGAGUCGGGUUGUUUGGGACCGCAGCCCUAAAUGGGAGAUAAACUUCUUCUAAGGCUAAAUAUUAAUGGGAAACCGAUAGCAAACAAGUACUGCGAAGGAAAGACGAAAAGAACUUUGAAAAGAGGGUUAAAAGACUUGAAAUCGUUGAGAAGAAAAGCGGUGGAAGAGAAAUGAGUUCGUGUGAGUUCUACAUUGUAGUGAGUCCUUCAGGCUGUUGGGUACUUAAUAGGGCCGGCGGCUUGACAGGCGCAGCUUAUGUGUUUUUCUCCUACGAAAUGCACAAUGAGGUCACCGCUCCGGGAAACGUGCCAAAGAAGACUCUUGCCUCGAUGCAGGAAGAUUUGGUUAUAUACCGGAGUGUGGCCUAAGGGUCCAGCUGGAGAUUGUGCAAAAAAGGCUUCCACCGACCCGUCUUGAAACACGGACCAAGGAGUCUACCCCAUAUGCGAGUCUUAGGGUGGAGAAACCCGAAGGCGUAACGAGAGUAAGUCUAAGGUGUGAAUCCGCAAGGAGGCAACACCAACCAACCUUGAUUCUCGAAUGAAGGGAUUGAGUAAGAGCAUAUUUGGUAGGACCCGAAAGAUGGUGAACUACACUUGAGUAGGGUGAAGCCAGGGGAAACUCUGGUGGAGGCUCGAAGCGUUACUGACGUGCAAAUCGUUCGUCAAACUUGAGUGUAGGGGCGAAAGACUAAUCGAACCAUCUAGUAGCUGGUUCCCUCUGAAGUUUCUCUCAGGAUAGCAGGAACAAAAACGCAGUUUUAUCGGGUAAAGCGAAUGAUUAGAGGAUUCGGAGGUCCCAGACCUUUGGCCUAUUCUCAAACUUUAAAUUGGUAAGAACUUGGAGAUUCUUAAGUGAACUUUGAGGAGGAAUGCGUUGUUCUUAGUGGGCCAUUUUUGGUAAGCAGAACUGGCGAUGAGGGAUGAACCUAACGCUGAGCUAAGGUGCCAAAAUUCGCGCUCAUCAGAUACCAUAAAAGGUGUUGGUUCAUUUAGACAGCAGGACGGUGGCCCUGGAAGUCGGAAUCCGCUAAGGAGUGUGUAACAACUCACCUGCCGAAUGAACUAGCCCUGAAAAUUGAUGGCGCUGAAGCGCGAUACCGAUACUCAGCCAUCAGAGCAAAUGUGAGGCUUUGAUGAGUAAGAGGGCGUGAGCACAGUGCAGAAGCCUUCGACGUGAGUCUAGGUGGAACUGUGCUUAGUGUAGAUCUUGGUGGUAGUAGCAAAUAUUCAAAUGAGAACUUUGAAGACCGAAGUGGAGAAGGGUUCCAUGAGAACAGCAGUUGGUCAUGGGUUACUCGGUCCUAAGGCGUAGGGAAAUUCCUUGCAAUACAAGGGCUAUUUCAGCCCGUUGCCAAAAGGGAAUGAGGUUAAUAUUCCUCAAGCUGGUGUGGAUACUGUGUGGCAACACAAAUGAGCCCGGAGACGUCGGCAUGAACCCCUGGAAGAGUUCUCUUUUCUUUUUAACAGGCCGUGGCCCUGAAAUUGGAUUAUCCAGAGAAAGGGCUGUAUGUCUGGCAGAGCAGCUCACCCUAAGAGCUGUCAGGUGCGUUCUUGACGACCCUUGAAAAUCCGGGGGAGAGAUUAUUUCGCGCCAGGUCGUACCCACAACCGCAUCA